CAUUCUUUGUUUUCUGUGUUCAUAGCUUUUCAAGCCACCACCACCGAGAGUUUCAAGAAAUAAGGUUGUUGUCAUAUACGGUCUUCUAAAUCUUGUUGUCGCUAGUUUUUCAUACCAUAGAUAUUGUAGAUUGAAGACUUGGUUGGGCUCCCCAACUGGUGUCAGAUGUUCUUCUGCAGCUAGCCAUGAAUCGCAUACUCAAGCGCCAUUACCAAAUGAUAUUUAAACUCUAGGACAAUUAUCUCAGC